GAAGGGCGGGUCCUGCAUCCGAGGCAUCCCCGAUCCAUCCAGCAUCUUCUCGCGCAGUCUUCUUCGACCCGCUGCCACAGUCCCGGCGCCCCAGGCCCUGCGCAGAUGAAGACCUUCCCUCGGACGGCUUUGCGGGCCCUGCCUCAGCCGGCGCCCCCUUCUCUCCUGCAGGACCCGGACCCGCGCUGCAGGGGCUGAGUGCCCCCUGGGUCGGUGUCUGAGUCUUGCCUCCCCGUAGGCUCAGUACCUGGCACGUGUCCAAGGCUCAGCAGCUGUACCACAACCACCCAACAGGAGAGAAGGAAAGGAGAGGUGCACCCCGGGGAUGUGAGGAGGCAGCACCGGGCAGAGGGGCCCUUGAGAGAUGUCACCAUCCUGUUAAGAAAGGGCUGGACCACAGCACUGCAGAGGUGAGCUCUGUUCAUUGGAGGUCUGGGGCUUGGCAUCCCGCAAGUGCCCACAGGUCCCCUGGUGUGAUGUUCUCUGGGAAGUAGGUAGAGGAGUGACAAGGGUGGCUUCGUCCUGGCCUUCUCUGGGGCCUUCAAGAACACACCUGGUUUCUAUUUAUGCCCUUGAUUCUGAGAGCUCUUCCUCAAAUGUUGGCAGCAGAACGUGUGAAUUGAAGCAGGGAAGGGAGUUUGGCAUAUCCACCUGUACGUGGGUCUCCGUCACUUCUCUGCCGCCUCCUAGCUUUGGGACCUUCUCUUACCUCUGGUUUCACCCUCUGGAAAGCAGGACUCAAAUGAGGCUAUUUGUCUUCAGAUCACAUGGCAUCUGUCUUUUACAACCUGAGACCUCUUUCACUUUUCCUUCGGAGGCCUCUCCUGUCUGGGCCAUGGGGAAGGCUUUGUGCAGGACUGGAAGCAGUUGCUGGGUCCUUGGGCUCCAUUGGGCUCACUACUCCCAGGCCUUUUCCAUGGGCCUCCUUUUCCAGCAAGCCCCCGUCUUUCCCUGCCCCUGCACUUGGACAUGAUCACCGGCUGCCCAUGGCCCGUUGGUAGGCAGUGCGGGCGGAGGGAGCGUGGGCGGGUUGUCCCGCGCUUGGAGAGUCUGCUUCCUUACCCUGCAGUUCCAGGAGCUUUCCCACCCUCCUGCUGCUCCCCUCAUACUCCUGGAGCCUCCAGGGCUUCAGGGGCUGUCCUGUGUGCGUUAGUGUCAUUGUUGGGGCUUUUAUUUCCUGCCCUGCUGUUGGGAACCGGACUACAUGUGCUGCGUGAGUUCCCCUGAAUGUUCAGUUGCUGCCACUCGGCCAUGGCAUGUUUCCAUGGGCCUGGCCUUGACACCCUUUUCUGCCCACCACUGGUGAAUGGCACGCUGAUUAGCGCUGGCCACCCUGCCGCAGGCCAUCCGCCGUCUCCCUCUUUAGAGUUAACUACUGUUCUUUUUAUGAGGAAACGGCGUGUCUAUUCAGGAAAUGAUCACUGCCAGCAUCUGCAGAGUGCUUACUGUCUGGCGGCUUCUGUGCUGAGCCCUUUUCUGCUGCCUGCCAUGCGCUGUAUGAGCAGGGGCAAGGCAGGUGCUCAUUCUCAGCUUCUUGUCCGAUGCAGAUGAGUCCACGGUGUGCAGAGGCCGUCGUGGAAGUUGUCGUGUCAGCAGCGCUGUAGACCGCAGUGUCCUUGAGGUGAGAGCUCUGGUCCAUCCUCUGGAGUGUUGGGGCCUCACAGUAGUCACGUGCGUUCUCAGGGCCCUGGGUGCAGAUGGAGGGGAGCUGAGAGGUGAGAUGAAGGCAGCACCCACGAGUCCCAGAUCUGCUCACCACCUCAGCCCCAAGCAACCUUGAUCACCCCUGCACGUGUCUUCAGUGGCCGCCGGGGGUGGGCCUCGUGUCCCACUUGGGUACUGGGAGCUCCGGUUCAGGAGUGUCUGCCCUCCGUCCCUCAAGCGUGGGCAGAGCAUAUUGGGAUGGAAAGUGGGUGGACCAGAGAUGCUUUCCCUCUGAGUUUGAUGCCCCUUUUGCCGCCAUCUCAGUUUGCGACCUUGUCUUCUUCAUUUGAAAAUCCAAGCUAUGACAGAGAUGAUUUUGUGGUACUUAGGACCACAAAAUGCCUAUAAUUUCCAGCCAUGAUAUUUCCUCACUGUUUUUGCCCAAAGUGACUCCUCUUUGAUUCCCUUUGGCAGGGAGGUCCUGUUGGGCUUUCACAGGAAAGACUGGCCACCCCUGGGCUUCUGUGCUUGGCCGAGUCUUUUUGCUAGACUCAGUGUAUCCUCUAGGCCACUGGCACCUGCUCAUCUUCGUAGAUCUCUCUCUGCCUUGCGUGCACCUGCAUUCAAAAGUGACCACGGGCUGGCCGUGCUCUGGUCGUUGAUAAUGCAGGGAGAGGAAUUGUGGAAAGCAGUUUCCCGAAUUUGGAGGGUCCACACCUGUCCCUUUCAAAUGCUGGCGCUUUCACACACUCCUGCUUCUCUCCAGCCCAUGCUUUCUGCACUCAGGCACUGGGAGCUGCGUGUGACAGGCAGUGACAGGAGACUUCCAAGCCUAAGCUUCCUGUUAUCAGAGCCAGGCUGUGUCGUGUCGUGUUGAGAUACUUUAGGGGGUGUAAGGAGCCAGGAUGAAUUACGCAUAAUGAAUAAGUAUGGUGUUGGGGGGGUACAUAGUGAUUGGCAUAAGACUUUCUAGGGGAAGCAGCUCUUUGGAGGUGGUGGACUGGGCAGGCCUUUGAAGGGGCGGGUGUCAUAGGCAACAGGAAGGGCUUCGAGGGGAGGGGAGGCACACAAGGGUGACUUGAGGCAGGGGUGAGCACGAGCACCGGGGAGUCAGGUGCACAGAUAAGUGAUGGCUCUGGGAAGCGGGGGACGGCUGCUGGGGUGGUGGGCUGAACAGUAGGAGAGAACAAGCUCUCCAGCCAUCUCUCUGCCAAUUCCCUUUACUCUGUCACCCUGAGAAGACCCAUUUUUCCAAGACAGUGUUCAUUCUGACUCUUCUCUGGGAGCAUUGAGAUUCCUUUUUGAGCCAAGUUUGGUGUGGAAAAAAACACUGCAGCUCAUCUCUGACUAAUUGGGGACGCUUUCAUGGAUGUCACCUUAAAGAAAGAUGAGGUAAUACUGGAAUUCCCUUUGUGACUCAGCGGAAAUGAACCCGACUCGUAUCCAUGAGGAUGCGGGUUUGAUCCCUGGCCUGGCUCAGUGGGUUAAGGAUCUGGCAUUGCCAUGAGCUGUGGUGUAGGUCGCAGAUGCAGCUUGGAUCCUGCGUUGCUGUAGCCUAGGAUGGCAGCUACAGCUCUGAUUCAAUCCCUACCCUGAGAACUUCCAUAUCCUGUGGGUGCGGCCCUAAAAAGAGAAAAGAAAAAAAAAUAGAUGAGGUAAUAUUGGGGAGCAAACUCUUGUCAUGCCCUCCUGGUCUGUGGCCUCCUCGUUGCUCUAGGGGUGCUGCUUUGGAAGAAGCCUCGGGGGUCAGAACCACUCGCCCUCUCAAGGUGAGGACCUGAGUCCCAGCUCCCCCGGAGGGUCCUCCUCAUGGUGAGUUACUGCCAAAGGGCUGCGUCGGCCUGUGUUUCUGAGAUGGCAGUGCCAAGCUACCAGCCUCAUCUGACUUUCUCCUGUAGGUAUUUAGGGGCUGACCGCGGACACUGGCGUAGCAGCGUGAAGCAGGAUGUUGUCGCAUGACCAUCGCCAAACCUUUCUCUUCUGUUGCCUCAGCACAGCGUGGAAGGACUCUGCCCUCUGUGUGAACAGGGCAGAGGGGAAGUUCUGGGGCUCCAGGGACUUGGGGUUCAGAGCUGGAGACCUUCUACUGGCUCCCAGCAGGUGCCUCAGAACACUGCUGACCAGGAAGACUGUCUCUUCCCAUCUGGACCAGGUCAUCCCGUGGCUUCUGUGUUUCCCAUUUGCUCCUAGUAUAACUUUUUAGAACCAGGAGUUCCUGUUGGAGUCUUGUGUGCCAUGCAUCUUAUCUUCUCACCCACUUAAAUAAAUCUCGAAACUG
ensembl:lncRNA